rnacentral:rRNA from 1 species
UGGGGAAUAUUGGACAAUGGGCGCAAGCCUGAUCCAGCAAUGCCGCGUGUGUGAAGAAGGCCUUCGGGUUGUAAAGCACUUUUGUCCGGAAAGAAAACGUCGUGGUUAAUACCCGUGGCGGCUGACGGUACCGGAAGAAUAAGCACCGGCUAACUACGUGCCAGCAGCCGCGGUAAUACGUAGGGUGCAAGCGUUAACCGGAAUUACUGGGCGUAAAGCGUGCGCAGGCGGUCCGCUAAGACAGAUGUGAAAUCCCCGGGCUUAACCUGGGAACUGCAUUUGUGACUGGCGGGCUAGAGUAUGGCAGAGGGGGGUAGAAUUCCACGUGUAGCAGUGAAAUGCGUAGAGAUGUGGAGGAAUACCGAUGGCGAAGGCAGCCCCCUGGGCCAAUACUGACGCUCAUGCACGAAAGCGUGGGGGAGCAAACAGGAUUAGAUACCCUGGUAGUCCACGCCCUAAACGAUGUCAACUAGUUGUCGGGUCUUCAUUGACUUGGUAACGUAGCUAACGCGUGAAGUUGACCGCCUGGGGAGUACGGUCGCAAGAUU